UUUUGUAAUCAAAACUCAAAGUAUGAAUGUAUAAUAGUCGUGGAUUACUUAAUGAUUUGAGUAAGUUAUUCUCUUAAAUUGAUAUUUAUAUUCUCUUAUGAUAUUUAUAUAAUAAAUCACUGAGACUGAAGAAUAAGUAAGGAACUCUAUCAUCAAAUGCUUAGGUUUCUAGAAUCCAACACUACCUUCUCUUAAACUGGUUUAAGACAAACGUUGUUUAUGAAUUAUAUGUAUGAUGCAUUGUUGAAAAUGUUGUUAGAAAAAAAUAUUUUUAAUAUUAAAAGUAAUUGCUUAUUGCACGAGUGAAUGAUUAAAUAAAUAAAAAUUAAAU
rnacentral:sRNA from 1 species